UGAAGCAGAAAGAAUCGUCUUCCUGUGCCUUUAGUUUGGAAGGCUUUACACACAGGGUCUCUUCAAGACAUGCUGAGCGCUUCAUGUGCCUUCUGCUGUGUUAACACCUCGGAGCUCAGCUCUCAGUAAGCUUCUCCUGGGGAGAUCACCGCAGUGAGAGGAAGGCACAAGUGUGCAUAGUUGCACCAAAAUGUGCCUGCUGCUCCCCUGACUUGGGUCGUUGCUGCAGCCCAGAGGAUGGGAGGCUAGACUGAGGCCAUCUGUUCCUGAUGGUAGUGAAACCAGGAGAGGAAUCCCCGAGGACAGGUGUGUCUGCCUGAGAGUCACCCGAGGUGAAGGUGAUGGCAUAAGGUGCGUGUAGGGCAGGCUCUUCUUUACGGAGGGUGACGUGCUACAUCCUGGGAGAAAGCAGAGCCUCCCUGUCAGGACCGUUGCACAGGAAUGGAGCUGAGAUGAGUAGAGACUUGAAACCUGUCUUAUGCAAUCAGUGACAGGAUGUCGCUGAGAAGGUCCUCAGUGCUUGACCUGGUGUGAGGAUUCUUGGACACAGAGGUGGAUAAAGGGUUAUCCCCGUGUUUGUGGAGCUCUCUGUCUGGUAGCAGUGAACUCAUGAGCGGUGUAUUGGUGUUGGGGUCAACGGAGCAAGUGGUCCAUUUGGGCAAGGCAUGGCCUGGUGGGUGGUCCUGGAUCCUUUCUCUUUUUUCCCAACAGCUGCAUGGCCUUUCCUGGCUCCAUGGCCCUGGUUCCAGCCAGAUUCGGGGCUCUCAGGGUGCAGAUGACACCCGGACUCCAUGUUGCCUUAAAGCAGUCCACACUGCCCAGGUCUCCAGAGAAAACCGCAAAGAUCUGUAACUCCGACUAUGUCUUGGGGAAGUGGAGAAAUAAUGAGAUUGCUGCAGUAGCAUCCAGGACUGUCAGUGGAAGUGGGGAAUGACAUGACACCACCUUUUGGACACCCAGCUGGCAAGAGGUAAAAGAGGAAGGGACAGUCAGCCCACUGUAUACAAUGACAAGCGAGACCUAACGCUCAAGUUGGUUCAACACAAACCAGCGAGAAGGAAUCUAUGGUCAUAGGGAGUCUUGGGCCCAGGCUAAAGGGUGGAGCUUUGGGAAACAGAUCUCUCAAAUGCAACACAAUGGAAAGAGUUUUUGUUCAGGAGUUAGAAGAGGGAGUAUGUUGGGGAUGUUAGUUUUCCCCACUUUGGAGUUCCGUCAUGGCUCAGCGGAAACAAAUCUGGCUAGCCUCCAUGAGGACACAGGUUCGAUCUCUGGCCUCGCUCAGUGGGUUAAGGAUCUGUUGUUGCCCCAAACUGCACUCUGGGUCACAGAUGCGUUUUGGAUCCUGUAUUGCUGUGCCUGGGAAUUUCCAUAUGCCGCCAUUGCGCUUGCAGAAAACAAACAAGCAAAGAAACAAAACACCCACACACAGCAUAGUCAAAGUAGUUGGUAUAAAAUAGGGAACAAAGUUGCAUGGCUAGCUCUGCCUGACCUCAGGAAUUAGUUUAUAGUCAUCAUGGUCAAAUCAGGAUGGAACUGUUGCAAUGAUACUUCAAGGGAUCAAGGGACCAGAAUAAGGAGUCCAAAAAUAAACCUUUGCCUACAACAAGACUGAUGUCGUUGACCAAUGCAGAGAGGUAACCCCGUGGAGAAAACAUAUUCUUUUCAACAGAUUGGUGAAGGAUGAUCUACUUCAGCUUUUUGACUAAUAGAUGUCUAUAUGCAUGUGAGAAGUCGUUACAUUACUGGGCUGAAUCCAUACCUCAUACCUUAUUGGAACUCAGGAUAGAUCAUAGACCUAAAUGUAAACCAGGAGUUCCCCUCGUGGCUCAGUGGUUAACGAAUCUGACUAGGAACCAUGAGGUUGGAGUUUGAUCCCUGGCCUUGCUCAGUGGGGUGGGGAUCCAGCAUUGCCGUGCACUGUGGUGUAGGUCACAGAUGUGGCUCAGAUCCCAAGUUGCUGUGGCUCUGGUAUAGGCCAGAGGCUACAGCUCCGAUUGGACCCCUAGCCUGGGAACCUCCAUAU
rnacentral:lncRNA from 1 species